CGAGGCACGGCGCACAGCUCAGUAACACGUGGCUAACCUGCCCUUAGGACGAGAAUAACCCCGGGAAACUGGGGCUAAUGCUCGAUAGGUGAAGAACUCUGGAAUGAGUCUUCACUUAAAAGAGUCUGCGUUAUGCUCGUAGAUUUCGCUUAAGGAUGGGGCCGCGACCGAUCAGGUUGUUGGUGAGGUAAUGGCUCACCAAGCCUUUUACCGGUGCGGGCCGUGAGAGCGGGAGCCCGGAGAUGGGCACUGAGACAAGGGCCCAGGCCCUACGGGGCGCAGCAGUCGCGAAAACUUUGCAAUACACGAAAGUGUGACAGGGCUAUCCCGAGUGCCAUCCGCUGAGGAAGGCUUUUACCCAGUCUAGAAAGCUGGGGGAAUAAGGAGAGGGCAAGUCUGGUGUCAGCCGCCGCGGUAAUACCAGCUCUCCGAGUGGUGUGGAUGUUUAUUGGGACUAAAGCAUCCGUAGCUGGCUAAGUUAGUCCCCUGUUAAAUCCAACGAAUUAAUCGUUGGAUCGCGGGGGAUACUGCUUGGCUAGGGGACGAGAGAGGCAGACGGUAUUUCCGGGGUAGGGGUGAAAUCCUAUAAUCCCGGGAAGACCACCAGUGGCGAAGGCUGUCUGCUAGAACGCGCCCGACGGUGAGGGAUGAAAGCUGGGGGAGCGAACCGGAUUAGAUACCCGGGUAGUCCCAGCUGUAAACGAUGCAGACUAGGUGUUUGGACGGCCACGUGCCGUUCUAGUGCCGCAGGGAAGCUGUUAAGUCUGCCGCCUGGGAAGUACGAUCGCAAGAUUGAAACUUAAAGGAAUUGGCGGGGGAGCACCCCAAGGGUUGUAGCUUGCCGUCUAAUUGGUUC
rnacentral:rRNA from 1 species